rnacentral:lncRNA from 1 species
AAAUUUCUUCUGUGCUGGGCCGACUAGGAAAGGACCUACUAUGUCCAUGCCUCACUGGGAGAAAGGCCACGGGGCUGUGAUAGAAUGCAAAAGAUGGGGCGGGGCCAGAGGUCAUUGGCAUGCGCUUGACACCGUAAACAUUUUCUGGUGAAAACGCGAGAGUCUUCUUCCAUAGUGGGCCAAUAGUAGCCGGCCCUUAGGAUCCGGGCUUUCAGAGUUCUUUGCCCCGAGUGGAAUCCACAAACCCCGUUGUGGAGCUCGUCCAUCACGUACUGCGCUUCUUCCCGGGACACGCACUUGAGUAGAGGGGUGGAGAAUCCCCUUCUAUACAUGUCGUCGCCUACUAGCAGGAAACGAGCUAUUCUUUUGGUUUCUUCCGGCCGAAGGCUACAUCCGUCGUCUUGUUUCUUUAUUAGCUCUCUGAUUUCUCCCCUCCAGUCGGCGGCAUCUGUGGUAAUGGCAUGGCAUUCGACGGACGACUGCAGGAGGACCUGCCUGAUAACCGUUGUUAACUGCCCU